rnacentral:lncRNA from 1 species
UACCGGCAGAUGGAGGAGAGGAUCACCUGCCCCAUCUGCAUCGACGACCAGAUCAAGCUGGUGUUCCAGUGCGGGCACGGCUCCUGCCCGGACUGCAGCACGGCGCUGACCGUGUGCCCCAUCUGCCGCCAGGCCAUCCGCGAGAGGAUCCACAUCUUCGUCUGAGGGAGGAUCCGCCUCUUCCUCUGAGGGAGGAUCCAGUCUUUGUCUGAGGGAGGAUCCUCAUCUUCGUCUGAGGGAGGAUCUGCAUCUUCGUCUGAGGGAGGAUUCUGCUCCUCCCUGUGCCCCAUCUGCUGACAGGCCAUCCAGGAGAGGAUCCCCAUCUUCGUCUGAGGGAGGAUCCGCAUCUUCCUCUGAGGGAGGAUCCACAUCUUUGAGGGAGGAUCCACAUCUUUGUCUGAGGGAGGAUCCACAUCUUCGUCUGAGGGGGAAUCCACAUCUUCGUCUGAGGGAGGAUCCACAUCUUCGUCUGAGGGAGGAUUCUGCUCCUCCCUGUGCCCCAUCUGCCUCCAGGCCGUCCCAAGAGGAUCCCCAUCUUUGGCUGAGUGAGGAUGCUGCUCCUCCCUCCACCCAGGGCAGGAUCCCCAUCUUUGUCUGAGUGAGGAUCUGCUCCUCCCUGUGUCCCACCUGCCUCCCGGCUGUCUGGGAGAGGAUCCACAUCUUCCUCUGAGGAUUCUGCUCCUCCCUGGCCCUGACUGU